CAAAAUACUGCCAUUCAGAUGAUAUGCAUGCUUGCCCAGCAAGCUUUGGCCUUAAAGGAGAGGCUCUGAGCUCUAUUUCUGACGUUUCUUUGUUGGAAGUUGUUACUAAAACUCACGAGAGGCCAAGUGGAUAUCGUAAGGUUUUUAAGUGUUUGUACCUUGGAAUUGAUGUUUGUAGACAAAAUGUUGGUAUAACAGCCCAAAGAGGGUCUUGCAUUCUAUGAAAGAGUCCCUGCUAAGAUCACCCCUGUGCAUCCGAAUGUCUCCUACAAUUUUGUUGAUAUUGAAAGGACGUGCUUCUCCUUCUCUGUUGCCGCUAUGGUCCAGUGGGUUUGGGAUUCAUCUGAGUUCCCUAAACAAAUUGAAUGCAAGCGAUGGGUUCAUUCAAGCCUUCAGGAUACAUCUCAGGUCCUAUCUCAGGUCCUGAUGUUUACACGGUGAAGGUAUACAAGCCUAAAUUGAUGGAUAAGAGAUGUGAUAGGUUAUCUAUAAGGUCUUUGUUUCCCUAACAACCACUGUUUAAUUUGUAGGUCCUUCAAUAUUUCUGUAUCCACUUAUUUCAGUAUAUUUUCCUCUCCAAAGAAAAACGGAAAACUAAACUUUGGUUAACAUUUGAUGCCUGUUUUGUAUGGUGCAGAUAUCAAUUCAAGAUUUGUUUCCAAAGGACCAAUACAUAAAUUUCUUAAUAACAUAGCUAUGAGUUUUGACAGUGCUUCUGACAUUGAGAAGCGAAGUAGAUCUCAGAUAUAUCCACUAUUAUUUGUUGAACCUAAACUGUCCUAGAUUUUUAUAUGAAUUGACUUUGGAGCCUUCAAAGACCUCUAUGGCUUUAAAGAGGCGAUGAUGAUUUGUGCCAAUUUUAUUCCCUUCUGAGCUGAUUAUUCGGGCAUUUGAGGUUAUCCGACCAGUAUCUUGGCGGGGCAUGCCACCAGAUUUUCUGGUGAUUUUUGCAGUCAUGGGAUUGUUGGACUCUCUUUUUGCCUGAGCUUAACACAGAUCUGAGCCUAACUUUCUCUUUCAGUUUAGGGAAACUAAUGGCUGGAAAAUUGAUUUAGGGUUUUGAUCGGACAUUGUCAAUGGGACAGUUAAUCAGGUGGAGUAAUCUAAGAUGCGCCGGUAGCGUAUGAAGUUGGGGAAAACAAAUUCUUGAAUAUCCUUAACAUACACUGCGAGGAUGACAACAUAACUUACUUAUUUUAAAAUAUGCAUUUGAGAAUACUAAUGUAACUUCAAAAAGCCAACAGUUCUUGAAUUUUCAUGGAUGGAAAAAUAUCAAGAUAAUGGGAAGAGCAGCAAAAUACCUACAAGUUCUUAAGAACUUUUCUUAAAAAAUCAACAUGCAAUAUCGAGUUUCAUGGAUGGAAAAAUAUCAAGAUAAUGGGAAGAGCCCUUCCCCGGACCCUGCGCAUAGCGGGAGCUUAAGUGCACCGGGCUGCCCUUUUUUUAAUGGGAAGAGCAACAGAAUACCUACAAGUUCUUAAGAACUUUUCUUAAAAAAUCAACAUGCAAUAUCGAGUUCUUGAAUUUUCCUUCUUCUUUUUAGUAGAAGGAAGAAUAUCAAGAUAAUGGGAAGUUGAUCUUUUAUACCCGAUAACUGAUGUGCAUGCUUUCCUAGCAAGCUUUGGCUUUAAAGGAGAGGCUCUGAGCUCUAUUUCUGACGUUUCUUUUUGGAAAUUCAAACUCAUGGAAGGCCAAAUGGAUAUCGUAAGGUUUUGAAGGAUGACAAGUGUUUGUACCUUGGAAUUGAUGACGGUAGAGAAGAUGUUGGUACAACAGAUUUUGUUCAGUUGCAGGCAGUGAGGAUGACCUGCUUUGCACACGUGCUUUUCCUUCUCCUUGCCGCUGUUGUCCAGUGGGUUUGGGAUUCAUCUGAGUUCCCUUAAUAAAUUGAAUGCAAGCGUUGGUGCAUUCAAGCUUUAAGGAUACAUCUCAGGUCCUGAUGUUUACACAGUGAAGGUAUACUUGCCCAAAUUGAUGGAUAAAGAGAUGUGAUAAGUCAUCUGUGAUAAGCUCUUUGAUGCUUCUGCUGGAGCAUUGGAUGUUUCCGGGGGAGCUUUGGGGAGCUGAAAGCGGUGUUGGUGAGUAUAAUCGGUGGCUUUAAAGAGGCGAUGAUGAUUUUUGCCAAUUUUAUUCCCUUCUGAGCUGGUUAUUCGGGCAUUUGAGGUUCUCCGACUCGUGUCUUGUGGGGCAUGCCACCAGAUUUUCUGGUGAUUUUUGCAGCCAUGGUGAUGUUGGACUCUCUUUUUGCCUGAGCUUAACACAGAUCUGAGCCUAACUUUCUCUGUCAGUUUAGGGAAACUAACGGUUGGGAAAAUGAACAAAGCAAAAGGUCAAAAGUGAAAGAAUGAGGCUACAGAGAGUUGAUGAUUUUUCAUUGAAUGGAUGAUUGCUUCUCUCUGUAUUCAGCCAAUGAUUUCAUCUGACAUCGUCACCGGUGGCGUACUCUAACAUGCGCUGUAUAUGAUAAGCGGGCUUCCGUAAUUGAUGGUGGGGAGUUCUAAAAUGCUCAGGUGGUGUAACUUUUAUAGUUUUUCGAACUAGUUAAUACACGCGGAAAAGAAACUCGUCAAUACAAAAUAUAUUAUUGGAGGGAGUAUAUUAUUAACAGCUUGCUUAGAUUGUUGUUGUAUAUUGUCAAAGGGUUUCUAUGCCCUUCCACUCUUUUUUUUCUUUUUUUUUAAUGCUUCCGCUAGAGCAUUGAAUGUUGCCGGUGGAAGCGAUGAGGGUGAGUAUAAUCAGACGUCUUGAAAGAGGCGAUGAUGAUUUAUGUCAAUUUUAUUCCCUUUUGAGCUGAUUAAUUGGGCAUUUGACGUUUUCCGACCCGUAUCUUGGCGGGGCAUGCCACCAGAUUUUCUGGUGGUUUUUGCAGCCAUGGCGUGGUUAGACUCAUUUUUUGCCUGAGCUUAAGCACAGAUCUGAGCCUCGAUUUACUGGACUCCAUUACUGUAAGAAACCCUAUAACCCUUUUGUCAAUUUUAAUGGACGGAGUAUUCUAACAUCUUCAGGGUACUAUAUGAACCAAAGUUCUGGGAAAUGAAUAAAGCAAAAGCUCAGAAGGGAAAGAAUGAGGUACAGGGAUCUGAGGGUUUUUGUUCCAAGGGUGGUUUCCUCUCACCGAAUUAACCAAUGAUUUCUCUAUUACUGUCUCCUUCGUUUUUGUACCUGAUUUGUUGCACUUGAGCCGAGGGGCUUUCGGAAAUAAUUUUUGUGCCUUCAUGAGGUAGUGGUAAGGUCUGCGUACUUUCUACCCUCCCCAGACCUCACUUGUUGGAUUUUACUGGGUAUGUUGUUGUUGUUGUACUUCAUCACCUGAAGUUGUACUUUCUUUUGAAGGAUCUCGUGUCUCACAAGAUGGACUGUGCCGGGAAAAAGAUAUGUGCCAUCAAAAUACAUGCUUUCCCAGCAAGCUUUGGCUUUAAAGGAGAGGCUCUGAGCUCUAUUUUUGACAUUUCUUUGUUGGAAAUUGUUACUAAAACUCACAGGAGGCCAAGUGGAUAUUGUAAGGUUUUUAAGGUAAAGUUCUUUUGAGUAUUAGUUGGUUGUAUCCAUUAGGAUAUGUUCUUUGUUCUUGACAUUGUUUAUAGGACGGCAAGUGGUUGUACCUUGGAAUUGAUGAUUGUAGACAAAAUGUUGGUAUAACAGUUAGGAUGACCUGCUUUGAACACGUUCUUCUCCUUCUCUGUUGCCGCUAUUCUCCAGUUGGUUUUGGAUUCGUCUGAGUUCCCUUAACAAUUUGAAUGCAAGCGAUGGCUCAUUCAAGCUCUCAGGAUACAUCUCAGGUCCUGAUGUUUACACAGUGAAGGUCCUUCAAUAGUUCUGUGUCCACUUAUUUUAGUAUAUUUUCCUAACCAAAGAAAACGGAAAACUAAUCUUUGAUUAGCAUUUACUAUAUCGGAUGCUUGGUUUUUAUGGUUUUUUUUUCCUUGACCCUUGUAAUGCAGAUAUCAAUUCAAGAUUUCUUUCCAAAAGGGACCAAUUCAUACAUGACUUUCUUAAUAACAUAGCUAUGAUUUUGAUAGUGCUUCGGACAUUGAGAAGCGAAGUAGAUCUCAUAAAUAUCCACUGUUUUUGUUGAACCUAAACUGCCCAAGAUCUUUAUAUGAUUUGACUUUGGAGCCUUCAAAGACCUCUGUGGAACUUAAGGUCAAUCUGGGCCGUCUAAUUCAUUCUUCAGCUGUGGAGGUUGGAAACGGAGCUUUGACCUAUUAAAUAUGCUAACACUGUUGAUCUAUGGCAUCAUUCUAGAGACUCAAGAGCUUUCGAGUAUACUUUUUUUAUGUAUCCUUUGUUUUCAUAAGGAUUGGCGCCCUGUCCUUCUCUUUAUUGAGGAUACUGUCGCGAAUCUCUGGAAGUGACUCUGUCGAGGAUGAUUUCCUGCUAAACAUGAAGCUGUUGUCACGUAUAAUUUUGGAAACAUGGAACUUAAUGUCUUGGUCCCUGCCAUAAAUAAUUUGGAAAAAGAGAACUGCAAAGCUUAUCUCAAUUUUUAUGCUCUUUUAGAGAGGAUAUGGCCAGUGUAGGGGGAUUUGAUCCUCCAUGGGAUGUUGAUGGUUCAGGUCCUUCUGAUUUCUACUAUGAUGGAGAUGAUUUGACACACAUGCAUUAUCAUGGUGAAGAGAAUCUAAGAAUUAUUUGAUACCACGAGCUAUGCUCUACUCUAGGGUGGAUGGGGACUCACAUAAAUGGAUUGCUACUGGAAAUCGAUGUAAAAUAGAAGAGCUUAUAAGGAAGAUGAGUAG